CUCCUCCUUGACAUUUUUGCUGGAAACACCAAGACAUCUCCUUAAUGUUUCAAACCUCCCUUUAGACAAGGAUUUAGUAAAUAUGUCUGCAUAUUGAACUUCUCAGUUGCAGUGCAUUAGUUUUACUUCAUCAUUUUCUUGUGCUUCCCUCAUUGAAUGAUAUCUUAUCUUAAUAUGCUUUGUUUUCCCAUGAAACAUAGGAUUUUUGACCAUUGCUACUGCUAAUUGGUUGUCACAAUAAAUGGUAGUUGAAUCACCUUGUUUAUGCUUAAAAUCUUCCAGCAUUUUCCUCAGCCAUAGUGCUUGAUUUGUUGCUUCUGCUGCUGCUAUAUACUCUGCUUCUGCUGUUGAUUGAGCAACAGUUUUUUUGCUUCAUUGAAUUCCAGCACACAAUGCUUGAUCCCAAAUAAAAUACAUACCCAGAGGUGCUCUUCAUAUCAUCAAAAGAUCCGGCCCAAUCACUAUCGGUAUUACCUCUUAAAAUCAGAUUUUCUGUCUUCCUAAACAAGAUUCCCAAUUCUGCAGUCCUUUGAUGUACCUCAGUACUCUUUUUGCUGCCUGAAGAUGUAAAUUCGUUGGCUCUUGUCUUUAUCUGGAGAGGAGAUUUGUAGCAUACAUGAUAUCUAAUCUUGUUAUGGUUAGAUACAUUAAACAUCCUACCAAACUUCUGUACACCUUUUCAUCAAUUCUUAUGCUUCCAUCUUCUUUCAUCAAUUUCAGAUUUUGAACCAGUAGAGUGCUAACUGGUUUGCAAUUCUCGAUGCAGAACUUCUUCAAGAUCUCAUUGGAAUAUCUCUAUUGACAAAUGAAAAUGCCUUCUGUUGAUUGAUUUACUUCCAUUCCUAGACAGUACUUCAUUUCUCCUAGAUCUGUCAUCUCAAAUGCCUUCAUCAUUUCAUCUUUCACUUUGUCGAUUAAAGCCAGAUUACUACCCGUUACUAGCAGGUCAUCAACAUACAGAGAAAUGAUGAUUGUUUCUUCCUCCACUUGCUUCAUAUAAAGUGUUUGCUCAUUAACACUUUUGGCAAAACCAAGGCAACUCAAAUGCUCAUCUAUUCUGUUGUACAAGGCUCUUGGAGCCUGCUUCAAGCCAUAUAAUGCCUUCUUUAAUAGUAUACCUCUUCCUCCUUUCCAGAAACUAGAAAGCCAUCAGGUUGGUCAAUAUAAAUUUCUUCAUUUAAGUAGUCGUUUAAGAAAGCUGACUUUACAUCAAGUUGAUGAAUUUUCCAACCACUUUGAGCAGCUAUUGCAAACAGCAAUCUGAUAGUUUCAUACCUGGCCACUGGAGGAAAAGUAUCUGUGUAAUCUGUACCAUAUUGUUGUGCAUACCCCUUUACAACCAACCUGGCUUUGAACUUGUUGAUAGUGCCAUCAGGAUUCACCUUGGUUUUGAACACCCAUUUAACACCAACAACAUGUUUAUCCCUUGGCCUCUCAACCAGCUCUCAGGUUUUAUUCUUUUCGAUCAUCAUCAGUUCUUCUUUCAUUGCAGUCAACCACUCUUGUGAAUUUAAUGCAUCAGCAAAAUUUGUUGGUUCCAGAAUUGCUGAAUUGCAUCUUGCAUACACAUCAGCUAAGGGUCUGGUUCUUAGCACUCGAUUUUCUGAAUCAGAUCCACUAUCAUCCUCUACUUCAUUAGGUUCCAUUUCAUCUUCAUUUGUACCAGUCUCUUCCACUUCAGGAGGUGUUCUUUGAACUUGUGGCUGAACAAGAACUCUGG
rnacentral:lncRNA from 1 species